GAUGAACGCUGGCGGCGUGCCUAAUACAUGCAAGUCGAGCGAACAGAUAAGGAGCUUGCUCCUUUGACGUUAGCGGCGGACGGGUGAGUAACACGUGGGUAACCUACCUAUAAGACUGGGAUAACUUCGGGAAACCGGAGCCAAUACCGGAUAAUAUUUCGAACCGCAUGGUUCGAUAGUGGAAGAUGGUUUUGCUAUCACUUAUAGAUGGACCCGCGCCGUAUUAGCUAGUUGGUAAGGUAACAGCUUACCAAGGCGACGAUACGUAGCCGACCUGAGAGGGUGAUUGGCCACACUGGAACUGAGAAAAGGUCCAGACUCCUACGGGAGGCAGCAGUAGGGAAUCCUCCGGAAUGGGCGAAAGCCUGACGGAGCAACGCCGCGUGAGUGAUGAAGGUCUUCGGAUCGUAAAACUCUGUUAUUAGGGAAGAACAUACGUGUAAGUAACUGUGCACGUCUUGAAGGUACCUAAUCAGAAAGCCACGGCUAACUACGUG
rnacentral:rRNA from 1 species